GAUGAACGCUAGCGGCAGGCUUAACACAUGCAAGUCGAGGGGUAUGCUUCUUCGGAAGCAGAGACCGGCGCACGGGUGCGUAACGCGUAUGCAAUCUACCUUUUACAGAGGGAUAGCCCAGAGAAAUUUGGAUUAAUACCUCAUAGUAUUAUAGAAUGGCAUCAUUUUAUAAUUAAAGUCACAACGGUAAAAGAUGAGCAUGCGUCCCAUUAGCUAGNGGUAAGGUAACGGCUUACCAAGGCUACGAUGGGUAGGGGUCCUGAGAGGGAGAUCCCCCACACUGGUACUGAGACACGGACCAGACUCCGUACGGGAGGCAGCAGUGAGGAAUAUUGGACAAUGGGCGCAAGCCUGAUCCAGCCA
rnacentral:rRNA from 1 species